UUUAUCACAUUAGUGAAUUAUGGCACUAAUGUGUCGCCAUAGGUCGCAACCCCAAGGCGCGGCGUGUGGGAUAGAGUGGAUAGGUUCGUCGAGGCUGCCCCUCCGGGAGAUGAAGUUGAUCAACGUUUCGAAGAUCACGACUACUGCUCUGUCCCAGAACCGGCUGCCAUGGAUAUGGCCGCAUCCGCUGCUGAAAGCGUCACAAAUGAAGUAGAGGAGCUGAGAAAGGAGCUACAGGAGUUACGUCUCCAGCGAGAUUUUGGACUGCAACGGUUUGCUGGCUCCGACGCAGACAUACGAUUUUACACAAGUUCACAGCAAACCACCAAACAGCGCCUCCCAAUGAUACAGCCCCGACAGGAACACUACUCUAAAAAGAAAAUACAAGAUGGUCCGUGUCUCCAGAGCCAAAUCAGCUGCCCAGAAAAACGAAGAAGUGGUCGCACCUGCACGUGCAUCAACGAGACAGCUGCUCCAGCCCAUAGAUGAACUCUUUCUUUUUCUUAACUAUCUUUCGGCUGGAUUGAAGGAGAGAGACCUGGCAAAUCGCUUUAGAAUUCACCAGUCCACAGUGAGCCGCAUCAUUGCCACAUGGACUUGUUUUCUGGCCACAGCACUAGGGUAUAUUUGUAUUUGGCUCACACCUGCAGAGGUACAGGCUUACCUCCCGGAGGAAUUCCGUGAUUACCCGGACACCCAGGUAAUUCUUGAUUGCACCGAGCUUAGAUGCCAAACCCCAUCCUCACCCCUCCUUCAAAGUGAGAUGUACUCUACGUACAAAUCCCACUGCACCAUGAAAGGCUUGGUUGGCAUAGCCCCACAUGGUGCAGUGACAUUCAUUUCCGCAUUGUAUGGUGGCUCAGUUAGCGACAAGGAAAUGUUCAAACAGUCAGGAAUCGCUGAGUUGCUGACCGAAAACAUGGCCGUUAUGGUCGAUAAAGGCUUCGUAAUCAGUGAUUGCUGCAAAAGCAAAGUUUACUGCCCACCCUUUCUGUCAAAGAACAAACAGAUGCUAGCAUGCCAGGUGAAGGAGACACAGGCCAUAGCCAGAUUGCGGGUGCACGUGGAGCGUGUCAUUCGGAGGAUAAAGGAGAACCGGCUUUUUGAUGGCACCAUCACCCUGUCAAAUGCGUACAAUAUCAAUGAAAUAUUUGCAGUUGCCUGUCUGCUGUCAAAUUACCAAAACAAGGCACUCGUCAAAAAAUGGGUUAAGUGAUUAAAUAAAGAGAAUAUUAUUGCCUUUCAUGAAAUGUAGUAGAUCUGUCUGCUAGGAUGUAAGUAAAGAUUGACUGUUUAAAUGUUCAGAACACUUGGAUUACGUGCAGUUAAUGUUUGGAUUUUCAUAUGCAUUUGAUUUCCCAUUUUACAAAAAGAAAUAAUAAUGCAAUUGCUGAGAAAAAAAUAUAUUUAUGGUGAUUACAUGGUCUCAUUGACAUUUCCAGGAAGAAACUGCACUUCUGGUUGUUUGGUUGACGGUGAGUUGCUGGCCAACGUGAGGUAAGACUGCUGGUGAAGGUGAGAUGAGACUGCUUGU